rnacentral:rRNA from 1 species
GCCAGACUCCUACGGGAGGCAGCAGUGGGGGAUAUUGCACAAUGGGGGGAACCCUGAUGCAGCGACGCCGCGUGAGUGAAGAAGUAAUUCGUUAUGUAAAGCUCUAUCAGCAGGGAAGAAAAUGACGGUACCUGAGUAAGAAGCUCCGGCUAAAUACGUGCCAGCAGCCGCGGUAAUACGUAUGGAGCAAGCGUUAUCCGGAUUUACUGGGCGUAAAGGGAGCGUAGGCGGCCUGCCAAGUCUGAUGUGAAAUACCGGGGCUCAACCCCGGGGCUGCAUUGGAAACUGGCAGGCUGGAGUGCCGGAGAGGCAGGCGGAAUUCCUAGUGUAGCGGUGAAAUGCGUAGAUAUUAGGAGGAACACCAGUGGCGAAGGCGGCCUGCUGGACGGUGACUGACGCUGAGGCUCGAAAGCGUGGGGAGCAAACAGGAUUAGAUACCCCAGUAUU